GGUCAAGUUAUUAAGGGUGCAGGGCGGAUGCCUUGGCACUAGGAGCCGAUGAAGGACGUGAUAAGCUGCGAUAAGCUUCGGGGAGUUGCACGUAAACUUUGAUCCGAAGAUUUCCGAAUGAGGAAACUCACUUAGAGUAAUGUCUAAGUAUCAUUAAGUGAAUACAUAGCUUAAUGAGGGGAACUCAGGGAACUGAAACAUCUAAGUACCUGAAGGAAGAGAAAGAAAUUCGAUUCCGUAAGUAGCGGCGAGCGAACGCGGAUUAGCCCAAACCAAUAAAGUUUUCUUUAUUGGGGUUGCGGACAUAUCAUAACGAAGAGGUAUCGUAAUUGAAGAGGUUUGGAAAGACCCACCACAGAAGGUAAUAGUCCUGUAUGUUAAACGAGAAGACUUCAGAUAUGAUCCAGAGUACCACGGGACACGUGAAACCCUGUGGGAAGCAGGAGGGACCACCCUCCAAGGCUAAAUACUACCUAGUGACCGAUAGCGUAUAGUACCGUGAGGGAAAGGUGAAAAGAACCCCGGGAGGGGAGUGAAAUAGAACCUGAAACCCUGCACUUACAAGCUGUGGAAGCACAUUUCUUGUGUGACCGCGUACUUUUUGUAGAACGGGCCAACGAGUUACGUUAAGUAGCAAGGUUAAGCACUUAAGGUGUGGAGCCGUAGCGAAAGCGAGUUUUAACUGAGCGUUCAGUUACUUGACGUAGACCCGAAACCGGGCGACCUACCCAUGAGCAGGAUGAAGCGAAAGUAAAAUUUCGUGGAGGUCCGAACCCACGAGCGUUGAAAAGCUCGGGGAUGACUUGUGGGUAGCGGUGAAAUUCCAAUCGAGCCCGGAGAUAGCUGGUUCUCCCCGAAAUAGCUUUAGGGCUAGCCUCAAGGUGAGAGAUACGGAGGUAGAGCACUGAAUGUCCUCGGGGGUAUUGCACCUACCGAAGACUAUCAAACUCCGAAUGCCGUCAUCUUAUACUUGGGAGUCAGACUGUGGGUGAUAAGAUUCAUAGUCGAAAGGGCAACAGCCCAGAUCGUCAGCUAAGGUCCCUAAAUGUAAGUUAAGUGGUAAAGGAUGUGGGAUUGCACAGACAACCAGGAUGUUGGCUUAGAAGCAGCCACUCAUUCAAAGAGUGCGUAAUAGCUCACUGGUCGAGUGAUCCUGCGCCGAAGAUUUCCGGGGCUAAAACUUACUACCGAAGCUACGGCAUCAGUAAUGAUGGGUAGGGGAGCUUCCCAUACGGGUUGAAGCAUGACCGUAAGGACAUGUGGACAGUAUGGGAGUGAGAAUGUUGGCAUGAGUAGCGAGAUGUGGGUGAGAAUCCCACAGGCCGUAAACCCAAGGUUUCCAGGGGAAGGUUCGUCCGCCCUGGGUUAGUCGGGACCUAAGCUGAGGCCGAAAGGCGUAGGUGAUGGACAACAGGUUGAUAUUCCUGUACUACCGAUAACCGUUUGAGAGAAGGGAUGACACAGUAGGAUAAGCUAAGCACACUGUUGGUUAUGUGUGCCCAAGCAUUGAGGCAGUCAAAGUAGGCAAAUCCGCUUUGAUAAUGCUGGGAUGUGAUGGGGAGCGAAAUUUAGUAGCGAAGUAGCUGAUUUCACACUGUCAAGAAAAGUCUCUAUCGAGGUUAAAGGUACCCGUACCGCAAACCGACACAGGUGGGUGAGGAGAGUAUCCUAAGGCCAGCGAGAGAACUGUUGUUAAGGAACUCGGCAAAAUGACCCCGUAACUUAGGGAUAAGGGGUGCCACCAUCAGGUGGCCGCAGAGAAUAGGCCCAAGCGACUGUUUACCAAAAACAUAGGUUUCUGCUAAGUCGCAAGACGAUGUAUAGGAGCUGACGCCUGCCCGGUGCUGGAAGGUUAAGGGGAUCUGUUAGAGCAAUCGAAGCAGUGAACUUAAGCCCCAGUAAACGGCGGCCGUAACUAUAACGGUCCUAAGGUAGCGAAAUUCCUUGUCGGGUAAGUUCCGACCCGCACGAAAGGCGUAACGAUUUGGGCACUGUCUCAACAACAGACUCGGUGAAAUUGUAAUUCCGGUGAAGAUGCCGGAUACCUGCGACAGGACGGAAAGACCCCAUGGAGCUUUACUGUAGCUUGACAUUGGGUCUUGGUACUACAUGUACAGGAUAGGUGGGAGGCUUUGAAACCAGGACGCCAGUUUUGGCGGAGCCAUCCUUGGGAUACCACCCUUGUAGUACUGGGACUCUAACCAUAGGCCAUGAAUCUGGUCUUGGGACACUGUCAGGUGGGCAGUUUGACUGGGGCGGUCGCCUCCCAAAAGGUAACGGAGGCGCUCAAAGGUUCUCUCAGUACGGUCGGAAAUCGUACGUAGAGUGUAAAGGCAAAAGAGAGCUUGAUUGCAAGACAUACAGGUCGAGCAAGGAUGAAAAUCGGACUUAGUGAUCCGGUGGUUCUGCGUGGAAGGGCCAUCGCUCAACGGAUAAAAGCUACCCUGGGGAUAACAGGCUUAUCUCCCCCAAGAGUCCACAUCGACGGGGAGGUUUGGCACCUCGAUGUCGGCUCAUCACAUCCUGGGGCUGUAGUAGGUCCCAAGGGUUGGGCUGUUCGCCCAUUAAAGUGGUACGCGAGCUGGGUUCAGAACGUCGUGAGACAGUUCGGUCCCUAUCCGUCGCAGGCGUAGGAAAUUUGAGAAGACCUGUCCUUAGUACGAGAGGACCGGGAUGGACGUACCUCUGGUGUACCAGUUGUUCUGCCAAGGGCAUGGCUGGGUAGCUAUGUACGGAAUGGAUAAGCGCUGAAAGCAUCUAAGCGCGAAGCCAACUUCAAGAUAAGAUUUCCCACCGCAAGGGUAAGACCCCAGAAAGACUAUCUGGUUGAUAGGUCGAAGGUGUAAGUGCAGCAAUGUAUUUAGCUUAUCGAUACUAAUAGGUCGAGGACUUGACCAA
rnacentral:rRNA from 1 species